UAUGGUCAUAUCACAUUGAAGCCCUGGUUCUCAUAUGAUCAACAAAGUUAAGCAACAUCAAACCUAAUCACUACCUUGAUAGGUGACUGCUUGGGAAUACCAGGUGUUGUAAG